ACUUAUGGACGAAGUCUGACGGAGCACGCCGCGUGAGUGAUGAAGGUUUUCGGAUCGUAAAGCUCUGUUGUUAGGGAAGAACAAGUACCGUUCGAAUAGGGCGGUACCUUGACGGUACCUAACCAGAAAGCCACGGCUAACUACGUGCCAGCAGCCGCGGUAAUACGUAGGUGGCAAGCGUUGUCCGGAAUUAUUGGGCGUAAAGGGCUCGCAGGCGGUUUCUUAAGUCUGAUGUGAAAGCCCCCGGCUCAACCGGGGAGGGUCAUUGGAAACUGGGGAACUUGAGUGCAGAAGAGGAGAGUGGAAUUCCACGUGUAGCGGUGAAAUGCGUAGAGAUGUGGAGGAACACCAGUGGCGAAGGCGACUCUCUGGUCUGUAACUGACGCUGAGGAGCGAAAGCGUGGGGAGCGAACAGGAUUAGAUACCCUGGUAGUCCACGCCGUAAACGAUGAGUGCUAAGUGUUAGGGGGUUUCCGCCCCUUAGUGCUGCAGCUAACGCAUUAAGCACUCCGCCUGGGGAGUACGGUCGCAAGACUGAAACUCAAAGGAAUUUGACGGA
rnacentral:rRNA from 1 species